rnacentral:rRNA from 1 species
GGGUGAGUAACGCGUAUGCAACCUGCCCUUCACAGGGGGAUAACCGGGAGAAAUUCCGACUAAUACCGCAUACGUCCUCCGGGGGCACCCCUGGGGGAUGAAAGAGUUAUCGGUGAAGGAUGGGCAUGCGUGAUAUUAGGUAGUUGGCGGGGCAACGGCCCACCAAGCCCACGAUAUCUAGGGGUUCUGAGAGGAAGGUCCCCCACAUUGGUACUGAGACACGGACCAAACUCCUACGGGAGGCAGCAGUGAGGAAUAUUGGUCAAUGGACGAGAGUCUGAACCAGCCAAGUCGCGUGAAGGAAGACGGAUCUAUGGUUUGUAAACUUCUUUAGUGCGGGAACAAAGCGGCGUCGAGACGCCUGAUGAGUGUACCGCAAGAAUAAGCAUCGGCUAACUCCGUGCCAGCAGCCGCGGUAAUACGGAGGAUGCGAGCGUUAUCCGGAUUUAUUGGGUUUAAAGGGAGCGCAGGCUGCGAGGCAAGUCAGCGGUCAAAUGUCGGGGCUCAACCCCGGCCUGCCGUUGAAACUGUCCUGCUAGAGUUCGAGUGAGGUAUGCGGAAUGCGUUGUGUAGCGGUGAAAUGCAUAGAUAUGACGCAGAACUCCGAUUGCGAAGGCAGCAUACCAACUCGCGACUGACGCUGAGGCUCGAAAGCGUGGGUAUCGAACAGGAUUAGAUACCCUGGUAGUCCACGCAGUAAACGAUGAAUACUAACUGUUCGGAGGGC